GAUGAACGCUGGCGGCGUGCCUAAUACAUGCAAGUCGAGCGAACGGACGAGAAGCUUGCUUCUCUGAUGUUAGCGGCGGACGGGUGAGUAACACGUGGAUAACCUACCUAUAAGACUGGGAUAACUUCGGGAAACCGGAGCUAAUACCGGAUAAUAUUUUGAACCGCAUGGUUCAAAAGUGAAAGACGGUCUUGCUGUCACUUAUAGAUGGAUCCGCGCUGCAUUAGCUAGUUGGUAAGGUAACGGCUUACCAAGGCAACGAUGCAUAGCCGACCUGAGAGGGUGAUCGGCCACACUGGAACUGAGACACGGUCCAGACUCCUACGGGAGGCAGCAGUAGGGAAUCUUCCGCAAUGGGCGAAAGCCUGACGGAGCAACGCCGCGUGAGUGAUGAAGGUCUUCGGAUCGUAAAACUCUGUUAUUAGGGAAGAACAUAUGUGUAAGUAACUGUGCACAUCUUGACGGUACCUAAUCAGAAAGCCACGGCUAACUACGUGCCAGCAGCCGCGGUAAUACGUAGGUGGCAAGCGUUAUCCGGAAUUAUUGGGCGUAAAGCGCGCGUAGGCGGUUUUUUAAGUCUGAUGUGAAAGCCCACGGCUCAACCGUGGAGGGUCAUUGGAAACUGGAAAACUUGAGUGCAGAAGAGGAAAGUGGAAUUCCAUGUGUAGCGGUGAAAUGCGCAGAGAUAUGGAGGAACACCAGUGGCGAAGGCGACUUUCUGGUCUGUAACUGACGCUGAUGUGCGAAAGCGUGGGGAUCAAACAGGAUUAGAUACCCUGGUAGUCCACGCCGUAAACGAUGAGUGCUAAGUGUUAGGGGGUUUCCGCCCCUUAGUGCUGCAGCUAACGCAUUAAGCACUCCGCCUGGGGAGUACGACCGCAAGGUUGAAACUCAAAGGAAUUGACGGGGACCCGCACAAGCGGUGGAGCAUGUGGUUUAAUUCGAAGCAACGCGAAGAACCUUACCAAAUCUUGACAUCCUUUGACAACUCUAGAGAUAGAGCUUUCCCCUUCGGGGGACAAAGUGACAGGUGGUGCAUGGUUGUCGUCAGCUCGUGUCGUGAGAUGUUGGGUUAAGUCCCGCAACGAGCGCAACCCUUAAGCUUAGUUGCCAUCAUUAAGUUGGGCACUCUAAGUUGACUGCCGGUGACAAACCGGAGGAAGGUGGGGAUGACGUCAAAUCAUCAUGCCCCUUAUGAUUUGGGCUACACACGUGCUACAAUGGACAAUACAAAGGGCAGCGAAACCGCGAGGUCAAACAAAUCCCAUAAAGUUGUUCUCAGUUCGGAUUGUAGUCUGCAACUCGACUACAUGAAGCUGGAAUCGCUAGUAAUCGUAGAUCAGCAUGCUACGGUGAAUACGUUCCCGGGUCU
rnacentral:rRNA from 1 species